rnacentral:lncRNA from 1 species
GGGGGGGGGGGGCACUCCGUCGGAUUCAUAUUCCUCCCCUCCCUAAUAAACCACACAGGUGGAUGUAACCACCCGGAUCUCGCCAGCUAGCCGGAUUCCCUAUUGUUGCAGGCUUGCUGCCAGGCUCCAGGGUAUAAAAUCCAGCUGUUACUGCUCCUAUCCAACCACCGCAUAUAGGAGUCGCAUCUACCGAUGAGCGCCACCAUGACAACACGGGAGAAAUAGCCGCCGCACCCAGAACCCAUCCUCACCAGCUCCCAGAAUCAGGGGUUUGGUCUGGGGUCUUCGUCGGAGUUCGCGGGAGCACGAGGUGCACUCGCCAGGCACGACUGAUGGCUGGAGCGGAGGGAAUUCUUCACCGGAGCAUGGACGUCGUGGUGGUGUCAUGUGUCGUCGUGGGAGGACUCCCCCACUACACCGCUGCCUGUAAGAUGCCUUUACAUGAGUUUGUGUUGUCCUUCGUUACAUGUAGCGCCCUUUGUAUUAGGGGUAUGUGACCUAUGAUGCCGGGGCGCUGCCUCAUUAUCGUGUUGCCAUCGCGGGGUGGGCGCACGCCACUGGAGUGCAAGGUCGGAGCGAGAAUAAGAGGUUAGAGUCGUUGAUCUCCUUCUGGGCGACUCUGAUUAGAACGUGGAGAUACCCCUUUGUGCAUUAAACCGUAGUCGUCGGGUUUGGAUCGGAGGGAUAGGAUAACGUUUUGGCUAGAUCAGAUCUUGGUCAUAAGAUGGAGCGUUAGUGGAUUAGAUUAGAUCUCUCCCUAAUAAAAUCUAGAUUGUAUAUUCAAGAUCGGACGACCCUGAUUAGAAAUUGAGAUAAUGUUUUGAUCCGAUGAAAACUGGGCAUCAAUCGGGGAUCUAGCAGCUGGAAAUCCAUACCAGUUCAACGAGGGGAUCUAAUUCGCGCCUUUAGUUGAAGAUCUAGCGGCCGAGACACGCUCAUACCCCUUUGGCUAUUGUUGUUUUGCGUAAGAGACCAUGCGUUCCUCAAAAAGCAACCCGCAGUCCACCCCAGUGCAAAGACUCUCACGAAUUAGUCCUAAGAAUUCUGAUUUAGACCCUACAGUCUCCAAAAAUAUAAACUGCCAUCCUUUUUAGAAAUAAAAUAAAUAAAAAAUCAUAGGAAAUUCCCUGGAAAUCAUUUCUUAGGUAUAAAAUAAAUUUAAAAAUAUCUAGAAACUUAGAAAACUCAUAACUAUCACGUUUUAACUCUGAUUUUAGUAGUUCUCGAACCUGCAAUCUCGUAGUGACGUGUAAAAUAUUUCUAUAUAGUUUGUUUCCAUGCUUUGGUGUAAUGUUAUUGUAUCCCUUGUUUGCUUAUUUGUAUGUAUUGCUACCUACUAGAAGCGGGGUUGCAAGGAACCUGAAGCCCAACUCGGAGAAGUACCUGGUGCUACACCAAAAAGACAAGUUGUGUCCUUGAUCACAUUUUUUGACCUAAGAAUAUUUAUGUUUAUAAUAAUCACCAUGGCAUGCUUAGGUUAAAUUGAUGGGACCUAAUAGGUUACCUAGUUUUGUUUACCCUACACCUUGCAUACAAAUGAAUUAUUGGGUAGUCCUGCUAUUGCUUUACCUAGUUUUGGGAGUAAUAACAUUUAUGAAUUAUCAUCAUGUUCUAUUAUAUUGCUAGAUUAUUUAUUAUUGUGCUUGAUAAGAUCAUUUUGUUAAUUGGAAUAUGGAGCGAUCACCUGAGACAACAGUUUAACCACAACGACUAUAUGGCUUUGGUCUUGGCCAAUUAAUUAGGAAAGGUAGUGUAGGAUAAUCCAUUCUCGAUAGGGGCAAGUGGGGAGGCAUCGCUGCAGAGUAUAGUGAUAGAUGUAAUUACGACGAUGGGGUUACAGACUAUGAAAAAAGGCAUAUGCUUCCUUGGUCCAAAACGAUAGCGGGUUUUCUCAUACUAGUGGAACUUUGUAAAGGCCUUGUAGUGUACCCUCGCCAACUCACCUUGGAAGUGUUUAAGGGUCCGUACAAUCCUGGGCAAAAAGGGAACACAACUUGUGGGUAUAGACGUGCAACCUCUGCAGAGUAUAAAACUGGUAUAUCAGUCGUGCUCAUAGGCAUGAGCGGCUCGGGCC